CUAAGUAAUGCAUAAUUAGGGUGAAUUCAGGGUGAUUGGGACACUUUUUUUGCCAUUGAGAUGACUGGGAAAAAGUGUCCUACUCACCCUGAUUUUUUUUAAUGGUUAGUUUUAUUAUUAUUUUUGUCAUAUUGUUUCCCCUGAUGUCCACAACUUUAUGAGAAAAGACCUGUCACUGAUUUUAGUAUGAAGACCCAUCAUUUGAGAAGAGAUGAAAUAUAGCUGACAUCACUUCCUCAUGGCAGAAGCACUUGGUGAAAGAAGCCAUGAUGAGCACGUUCCUCAGCGUAUCUGUAUCUAUAAUGAUGUUUACAGCUGCUUGUCUUGGUAAAAAUGUUGAUCAGACGCCAGCGAAACUCAUCAAGAAUCAAGAUGAAUCUGCUGUGAUCAUCUGCACUCAUAAUAUUCAGAGCUAUUACACAAUAUUAUGGUACAAACAAAGUGAGGAUUUGUUGGGCUUCAAGUUGAUGGGAUACCUUAAUUAUGAUCAAGAGACUAAAGAGCCUGAAUUUGACACACCAGCAAACAAGAUCAAAUUGGAGGGAGAUGGACAGAAAAAUGGCACUCUGACUAUCCAGAACCUCAUGCUGAAUGACAGUGCAGUGUAUUUCUGUGCAGCAUAUUACACAGUGCUCAGAAUCACAUCUGUCUAAUACA